rnacentral:rRNA from 1 species
GGGAUUAGCUAGUUGGUGAGGUAAGGGCUCACCAAGGCGACGAUCCCUAGCUGGUCUGAGAGGAUGAUCAGCCACACUGGAACUGAGACACGGUCCAGACUCCUACGGGAGGCAGCAGUGGGGAAUAUUGCACAAUGGGCGCAAGCCUGAUGCAGCCAUGCCGCGUGUGUGAAGAAGGCCUUCGGGUUGUAAAGCACUUUCAGUCGUGAGGAAGGUGGUGUAGUUAAUAGCUGCAUCAUUUGACGUUAGCGACAGAAGAAGCACCGGCUAACUCCGUGCCAGCAGCCGCGGUAAUACGGAGGGUGCGAGCGUUAAUCGGAAUUACUGGGCGUAAAGCGCAUGCAGGUGGUUUGUUAAGUCAGAUGUGAAAGCCCGGGGCUCAACCUCGGAAUAGCAUUUGAAACUGGCAGACUAGAGUACUGUAGAGGGGGGUAGAAUUUCAGGUGUAGCGGUGAAAUGCGUAGAGAUCUGAAGGAAUACCGGUGGCGAAGGCGGCCCCCUGGACAGAUACUGACACUCAGAUGCGAAAGCGUGGGGAGCAAACAGGAUUAGAUACCCUGGUAGUCCACGCCGUAAACGAUGUCUACUUGGAGGUUGUGGCCUUGAGCCGUGGCUUUCGGAGCUAACGCGUUAAGUAGACCGCCUGGGGAGUACGGUCGCAAGAUUAAAACUCAAAUGAAUUGACGGGGGCCCGCACAAGCGGUGGAGCAUGUGGUUUAAUUCGAUGCAACGCGAAGAACCUUACCUACUCUUGACAUCCAGAGAACUUUCCAGAGAUGGAUUGGUGCCUUCGGGAACUCUGAGACAGGUGCU